GCUAUUUUAUGUGGGGAGAGAAUAAGAAAAAGCUGUCCUAUGAAUUUAAGCCUUUAUUCAGCUGACAAGUCUCACAUGAGCCAGAUUCCUCCAGGACUUGUUAUUCCCUGGCUGACUUGUGGACUUUUCUGCAUAUAGUUAACCUUUUUCUUAAGAGUUACAUUACAGUAACUCUAAACUAUAAAUAAUUUAAAGUGCAGUAUAUCAAUAAAAUAAAAAACAAGAUAUUUUAAAAAUAAUCUUGCAAAUGGGUAGUAGCUUAGGCAGAACUGUUUUAGGACCUUUCGUAGGCCCCACUAUACAUCAUAUCUAACAUAUUGAAAUGGACCCACUUCCGACAUUAUGCAAUAGUUCUGUUAUAAAAAUCUGGAAAGAAUCUUUAAAACUUUACUCUGAAAAUAAUUUGGUUACUAUUGAGCUCAUUUAAAUAACGAAGGGCUCUGAUUCUCUGGUAUCAUCCAGAAUGCUUGAAAAUCCUUGCCAAAUGAAAAGAAUUCAGCCCGCAAGUUUUUUUUUUCCAAACGUAAUGAAGUUUUUACGAAUACUUACUUGACAAUUAUUGAAGUUGGCCUAAUAUUACACUUUGAACUUUUAAUUAAAUCUUAAACUUGAUUUUGCAGUUUUCUUUUUGUGUUUUGGAAUCAAUUGCUUCAUUUUUCAGUUCUCAAGUAUUUUCAUAACCCAUAAAAAGCUCAUAAGCUCUCAAACACUGAGGACAAUACUAAGUGCUAUGGACAACAGAGUCAUGGAAAUGGGAUCUGGAAGGAAAUGGAAUUCUGGUAAGAAGUGACUCAUGCAAGGAGACACACUUAAUAUUUCUGGAUACCGUACUAUGUCCUGCAUUACUUUGAUAAUCACGAGUUAUACCUUAUACUUUGCUACUGAUGUGAAGGAAGGCAACAAGCAUUCACUGUAGGGACUUACUCAUGAUCCAGCUCAUACUAGAUAUCAGAUGAUUUUAAAAAAGCACAAGUUGUGGUCACCACCCUAGAGCACCUAAUCAUUUAGUUUGGAAGAAAAAUGUUGCUCUCCUUGAAGUUUUCUCCAUCAUAACUGAACCCAUGAGAGUGCCUGAGAGUGCAAGAUAAUGAAUCAAGGGUUUGGUUCUUGAAUGGCCAAACUGAACAAUCAUUGUCUGGCUGUACCAAAAUCAUUUGUCAAAUUGUCCUUUAAAAUACCUGACUAAUGACUUAUGAACUGAGGGUUGCUGGGGCUCCAGCAUUCCCCCUAUACUGGAGGAAGAAGCUUUAGAGUCCUGUCGGGAACCGACUUUAUUUUUACUCAGUCCCAGGGAUGUAGUUUCAAUUAGGGUUAGGUUUCUACUCCAUGUAGCUAAACUAGAAACACAAAGAGCAGAUUUUAGCCCAGAGUGAAACACGUAUAUCUGAAUUUAACUCUUGACUCUCAUUCUGCUCGAUUGCUCAGUGGGUAUGGUCAAUAUUUUUACCUCUGAAAUAAACUUUGUUUUCUAAGGAUAAAUGGAAUGUAUUAUUUUGAAAUAGCACAAGAUAUUCAACAGAGGCCUUAAUAAACAAAUGCUUUUUCUUCAUUGUUGCUGUUACCUAACUAGGUCCUGUACUGGAAAUUAUAUGGCUUCAGUAAUGCUGAAGAGCUCUUGUCCUUUAGUAACCAGGACUGUGCAUCUGCAGGUGGUACAGAGCUCAUGACAAAGAAUCAUCGAACCAUAUGAAGCCCUUUAGUGGGGUGAUCAGAUAUCCACAAAGAAGAGCGCUCAUCCCCCAGGAAUGAGAGCCCGAUGGGACCAACUUUCUAUACUUAUAAAGAGAAGUUUGAAAGUAUAUGAGAGAUCUUCCCAUUUUAAAUAUUGGCACUAAUUAAAAAUUUUAAAAAUA